CUCACCGGAACCGGUCCAGUCAAAGGGCAACCCUUGAACAAUCAGUUUACUUCUCGAACAAAAAACCAAAACAAAGACUUGCGCUGACAGUAACUUUGCCUUUCAGUUGAUUGUUUUGUCUCAGUUUUUGAUUUCCCAAGAAAUCAAAUUUCACGUAAAACGUAACCAUGAAGUUCGCCACACUCCUGGUCCAGCUGAUGUUGGCUUCUCUGAUGCUGGUUACCUUCAGAACGCAAGAAACCAGUGCGGUUCCGGCAGUCCUCUACGAUGACGACUAUUACUAUUCGAGAUCCGGUCGGUUUUACCGUCGACCACGCUAUUACCGCCGGCGUUACAUCAGAGGUGUCGACCAACCGUCCGAACUGAACUAUCAACCCCAAUUUUCCCUUGAUGAUGCGCAGCCUUAAUCCAAUUUCGGAUGCUCAAUUCAUUGUGCAAGUGAAUAAAAACAUGUAUGUUAUCAGCUUAAA